rnacentral:rRNA from 1 species
GAUGAACGCUGACAGAAUGCUUAACACAUGCAAGUCAACUUGAACUUCGGUUUGGGUGGCGGACGGGUGAGUAACGCGUAAAGAACUUGCCUCACAGAUAGGGACAACAUUUGUAAACGAAUGCUAAUACCUGAUAUUAUGAUUAUAUGGCAUCGUAUAAUUAUGAAAGCUAUAUGCGCUGUGAGAGAGCUUUUCGUCCCAUUAGCUAGUUGGAGAGGUAACGGCUCACCAAGGCGAUGAUGGGUAGCCGGCCUGAGAGGGUGAUCGGCCACAAGGGGACUGAGACACGGCCAUUACUCCUACGGGAGGCAGCAGUGGGGAAUAUAGGACAAUGGACCAAGAGUCUGAUACAGAAAUUCUGUGUGCACGAUGAAGUUUUUCGGAAUGUAAAGUGCUUUCAGUUGGGAAGAAAAAAAUGACGGUACCAACAGAAGAAGUGACGGCUAAAUACGUG